AUUCCAGCUCCAAUAGCGUAUAUUAAAGUUGUUGCAGUUAAAAAGCUCGUAGUUGGAGUUCAGGGUGAGCUCAGCCGGUCGGCGUCAUGCGUCAGAACUGGUCGACUCUCCCUUGUUUGUGGAUCCCGCCCGGAGUUAACUCUUCGGGAUGUGGAGUUCACAUCGUUUACCUUGAAAAAAUUAGAGUGUUCAAAGCAGGCGUUUGCUUGAAUAUAUUAGCAUGGAAUAAUGGAAUAGGACCCUGGUUCUGUUUUGUUGGUUGGAGGCCAAGGUAAUGAUUAAUAGGGAUAGUUGGGGGUAUUCAUAUUUAAUUGUCAGAGGUGAAAUUCUUGGAUUUAUGAAAGAUGAACUCAUGCGAAAGCAUUUACCAAGGAUGUUUUCAUCA
rnacentral:rRNA from 1 species